CAGCACGGAGCGUCCGAGGCUCUGCUGGAGUCAGCGCCCGGCAGCUACCGCGACCGAGUCUGGGGGGACAGACUUGGCAGACCCGUUGGGCCAGUGUGACCUCAUACGCGGCCCUUCUGCUUCAGAGACACAGGCGGCUCUGACUCCCACACCCCUGCAGAGGCUGCUGUGGUCGUCAGGCGACAGGGCUCUGCGGAAGAGUACACGCAGAGCCACUCCAGGCCAGGCCAGGAGGCCAUCCAAGGGCAUGGGAGCCCUGGGAAACGCUCAGCGGCUUUUAUACCCGUUUGUCUCAACUGUUCUUGACCUGCUCUUCAACCCCGAGCUACGUCCCAUCGCUUCAACCAACCGAAGGAAUGCUUCCUAGAACUAGAUGGCCGUCUCACCUUUAAGCAAGGGUGGACCCAUCUUAGCUGCUUUUUGCUGCUCUGUCCAUGGAUGCAUUUGAAGAGUUCAAUGUUAAAAAAGGAAAUGGUUCAAUGAUACAAAUGUUGAAUGGUGAGCAUAUUUUUGCUGAAAAUUUUGCGGCUCCUGAAAAAGCACCCCUCGCUAGUUAAAGGAAUUCUGAAGGAAGAGCCAUAAGGCGAAACCAGAUCCAGUGAGAGACGAACGUGACUGAGAAGAGCAGGAGCCUAGCAGCCUAGGAAUGGCCUGUCCUGACACACUUUUGGAGAGCGUGGGCACAAGAAGGCAGCUGUUCCCCACAAAAGAGAAGAACCAGCCUGGGUGACCGAGGAUAUGGCACAAACCUGCCCACCAGGAAAUUCCAAGUUGCCGUUAGUUGGCCCUGCCUUCCAACAGGAGCAUGAGCAGAAAGGCCUUCUUGUACCUGAUCCACACAUCAGACUUCCAGCAUCAUACCCUUCUCCCCGUCUGACUGCCCAGACUCUGUGUACCACCUAAGACAAAUUCAAAACCUGUCCUUGAAUUUGUCCCCAGUGAUAGCCCCAUGCCUA
rnacentral:lncRNA from 1 species